GCCAAGUGAGUGUAUGCAUCUUUCAUCCCCAGCCCCUCCGCCGUGUUCCUGAACCCCGUCGGCCUGCAGGACGGACCGACAAGUGGCGCCCAGCCUGGGACACUAGUACAAGGGAUCCUCUGAGGGACAGAUCAGUCAGUAAGUUGGCAAGGAUGUGGAGAAAAAAGGAACUCUCCUGCACUGCUGGUGGGAGUGCAAACUGGUCCAACCACCAUGGAAAGCUGUGUGGAGAUUCCUCAACCUGCUAAAGAUGGAGCUUCCAUAUGAUCCAGCAAUUCAACUCCUAGGUUGCAUAAAACUAGAGGAGACUGGAUCAGUGCUUAAGAUACAGCAGACCUUCACCAUAGAAGACAGGAAUUAACAGGUGUUUUUGAAUGAUGUACAUCACAGCAUGACAAUGACUACCAGAGACACAGAAGGAGAGUGACCCUGUGACUUCUGAACCCUCCAAAUUCCCUGCAGAUCACAUCAAACAGUCCUGAAGAGGAACAGUCUCAGGAGGAAAGUGACCAAUUGGGGGAAAGUUCCCUUGUGAUGCAUUAGCAUUGCGAAAGAAAGUGACUGUGAAGAAUUACAAGAGAGAGAACAUUAUUACAGUUGUGUGUCUUCACCCCAGACUUGGUGCUGUUGUAUAAGGUUAUAUUGACCCUUUGAAUAAGAUGCAGCAAAGCCCUUCCUGCUCUAACUAAGCAGUCUGAUCAAGAACAGGAGCUCUAGGACCAAAUUGUCCUAGAGAUAAAGAUCUUUACCUCUCUCAUUAGUAUUCCAUUGGACUACAGUGAGAAUUACAUGGAUUAGAACAGACUUGGCAUAACAACUGGU